UGGGGAAUUUUGGACAAUGGGGGCAACCCUGAUCCAGCCAUCCCGCGUGUGCGAUGAAGGCCUUCGGGUUGUAAAGCACUUUUGGCAGGGAAGAAACAGCCUGGGCUAAUAUCCCGGGCGACUGACGGUACCUGCAGAAUAAGCACCGGCUAACUCCGUGCCAGCAGCCGCGGUAAUACGGAGGGUGCAAGCGUUAUCCGGAUUUAUUGGGUUUAAAGGGUCCGUAGGCGGACUUAUAAGUCAGUGGUGAAAGCCUGUCGCUUAACGAUAGAACUGCCAUUGAUACUGUAAGGCUUGAGUAUAUUUGAGGUAGCUGGAAUAAGUAGUGUAGCGGUGAAAUGCAUAGAUAUUACUUAGAACACCAAUUGCGAAGGCAGGUUACCAAGAUAUAACUGACGCUGAGGGACGAAAGCGUGGGGAGCGAACA
rnacentral:rRNA from 1 species